rnacentral:lncRNA from 1 species
AUCUAUUUUUAUUUAAUUAUAUAGAUAAAUAUGAAAAUAAAUAUGUACAUUUGAGACAUUACUUUUUUUUAGGAGCAAAUUUUACAAGGAGCAGUCAUCAAAUAUUAAAGAAAUUUAAGAUAUAACAAAUUAAAUUUUCUACAUACUCUAUUCUUUAACUUCUCUAAAGAUAAUUGAUAGGUCUUCUAAGCUAUUGAUAAUAUUUCAUACCGAGGUAAGAAGACCAUCCUAUUAUUUGAUUGUUAUUGAGGCCUUAGUGUAAUUGUUGUUUUACUUAUUCUACAAUUCUUUUCAGAAUAAACAUGUAUAGGGGAAUUUGAACACAAGAAAAGACUAAGUGCAUGAGCUUUACUUGUUAGGGUCACUCAAUUAAUUAUAUUUUAAACCACUAAAAUACUAAAAAAUACUACAAUGCUUCCUCCCAGUAAUAAUACUCCUUCAUCAACUCAUAACCACACUGUGUAACCCUACACUCUCAAAAGACAGCUCAAAACUCAAUAAAUUCCAUCCAACACCAUGAAUAACAGACUUCACUCCAAUCAAUCUGAAUUCACACAAUUUUUGUAAUCACAGACUUUUUCUCUUGAAAUACACACAACUCUCAAUAAAAAAUAAUCAUAAUCUUCCAUCCAUAAUCAAUUUUCCAAUAACUUCUCAUAUAAUUCAAUCACAUAAUAUUCUAAUUACAUAACUAAUAAUUCAUAAAUCAAUCUCUAAUUCAUUCCACAGACUCACUUCUCAGUAUUCAAAAACUAUCUAUUAUUCUUCAACAACAGAGAAACAAAAAAAACAAAGAGGAAGCACCAAGCUUAAUCCCAGCUCAUGACUAUCA